rnacentral:rRNA from 1 species
AUACUMAAUCGCACRWCGGUCUUCACGGCCCGACCUCCACCCUCUGUUGUUAAAACUACCUUGUUGCUUUGGCGGGACCGUCUCGGUCUCCGAGCGCACUAACCCUCGGGUUGGUGAGCGCCCGCCAGAGUCCAACCAAACUCUUGUAUUAAACCAGUCGUCUGAGUAUAAAAUUUUAAUUAAAUUAAAACUUUCAACAACGGAUCUCUUGGUUCUCGCAUCGAUGAAGAACGCAGCGAAAUGCGAUAAGUAAUGUGAAUUGCAGAAUUCAGUGAAUCAUCGAAUCUUUGAACGCACAUUGCGCCCCUUGGUAUUCCGAGGGGCAUGCCUGUUCGAGCGUCAUUACACCACUCAAGCAUCGCUUGGUAUUGGGAACGGUCCGUCGAAAGGCGGGCCUUCCUCGAAGACCUCGGCGGGGUUCAACCAACUUCGGGCGUAGUAGAGUUAAAUCGAACGUCUUAUAAGCUUGGUCGGAUCUCAUUGCCGUUAAACCUUUAAAUUUUCUAGGUUGACCUCGGAUCAGGUAGGGAUACCCGCUGAACUUAAGCAUAUCAAUAAGCGGAAGGGCGGAUCAUUAAGA